ensembl:rRNA 5S_rRNA 5S ribosomal RNA
GUCUAUGGCCAUACCAGCCCGAAUGCGCCUGAUCUCAUCUGAUCUUGGAAGCUAAGCAGGGUCAGCCUGGUUAGUAGUUGGAUGGGAGAAAACAGAUAACCCAAUGAAAAAACAAGCAAAGGAUAUAAACA